GGGUGCUUAGCUCAGUUGGUAGAGCGGCGCCCUUACAAGGCGUAGGUCGGGGGUUCGAGCCCCUCAGCACCCACCA
rnacentral:tRNA from 151 species